rnacentral:rRNA from 1 species
UGGGGAAUAUUGGACAAUGGGCGAAAGCCUGAUCCAGCCAUGCCGCGUGUGUGAAGAAGGUCUUCGGAUUGUAAAGCACUUUAAGUUGGGAGGAAGGGCAGUAAGCGAAUACCUUGCUGUUUUGACGUUACCGACAGAAUAAGCACCGGCUAACUCUGUGCCAGCAGCCGCGGUAAUACAGAGGGUGCGAGCGUUAAUCGGAUUUACUGGGCGUAAAGCGUGCGUAGGCGGCUAAUUGAGUCGGAUGUGAAAUCCCCGCGCUUAACUUGGGAAUUGCAUUCGAUACUGGUUAGCUAGAGUGUGGGAGAGGAUGGUAGAAUUCCAGGUGUAGCGGUGAAAUGCGUAGAGAUCUGGAGGAAUACCGAUGGCGAAGGCAGCCAUCUGGCCUAACACUGACGCUGAGGUACGAAAGCAUGGGGAGCAAACAGG